CACCACCACAACAACAACAGGUUAGAGCAGACUUAAAGCAGGUUGGUGGUGGUGGCUCCUCGUUGUCUUUGUGGCUGUUGCAGCUCUCCUAAUAAUCACUGUGGCUGUCAUCAGAUGGAAGAAAGCUAAAGGGAACAAAACACCGACGUAUGAAGACAUGGCUGAUCCUGAAGGUGGUGUUUCCUACGCCUCCAUCAGGUACACCAAGAAGACCAACAGGAGAGCCCAGGCUGGAGGUGGAGAUGAUGAUGAAGAUGAUGCAGUGACCUACAGCACCGUGAAAGCUUCCUCUUCCUCUUCCUCUGCUGCUGCAGCCUCAGCUGAUCUCAGCGACCUCUACGCCACCGUCACCAAACCCAA